AACCGCACGGGAUAAUCCAUUAUCGAUUAUCCUGUGCGGUCGACAUAACAGAACCGCAUAGGAUAAUCGAUUAUCCCGUGCAGUC
rnacentral:pre_miRNA from 11 species